rnacentral:rRNA from 1 species
AUGCACGCUGGCGGCGUGCCUAACACAUGCCAGUCGAACGGAGAUUACGGACGGAAGUUUUCGGAUGGAAGACUGUAAUUCUUAGUGGCGGACGGGUGAGUAACGCGUGGGCAACCUGCCCUAUACAGGGGGAUAGCAGCUGGAAACGGCUGGUAAGACCGCAUAAGUCGGCGAGACCGCAUGGUUUUGCCGGGAAAUGAGCAAUCAGGUAUAGGAUGGGCCCGCGUCCGAUUAGCCAGUUGGCAGGGUAAAAGCCUACCAAAGCAACGAUCGGUAGCCGGACUGAGAGGUCGGACGGCCACAUUGGGACUGAGACACGGCCCAAACUCCUACGGGAGGCAGCAGUGGGGGAUAUUGCACAAUGGAGGAAACUCUGAUGCAGCGACGCCGCGUGAGUGAAGAAGUAUUUCGGUAUGUAAAGCUCUAUCAGCAGGGAAGAUGAUGACGGUACCUGACUAAGAAGCCCCGGCUAACUACGUG